UCCCUUAUAGUUCAGUUGGUAAAGAAUCUGCCUGCAGAGCAGAAGACCCAGGUUCGAUUCCUGGGUUGGGAA
rfam:TPA: Bos taurus chromosome 20, whole genome shotgun sequence.